UGCUAAUUAGCCGGACUUUGCACUUUGACCCCGGGCCGCCAUUGACGCCGAGCUGCUGUGUGAAAGCAGCCUUUAAAGCAAAGAAGAGGCAACAACACAAACCUGUUCUUGGAACCGCACCGCCAGAAGACAUCUUUGUUGUUCUUUCCAAGAGUUCACUUAAGGUCCACAAUCGCUGACAACUUUCAGUGGCAUUUGUUGACAAGUUCAUCACUCAGUUGAGGCGUGAAUACUUUGAGGUGCCUCCUCACCCAGACUCCACCUGCAGCGGCCCCCCAGCAGUCCAGCAUUAACUGAUGCAGAUGCGGAGGACAGUUCACCGGUGCAGGCAGCCUGAAUCCGUCCUCGAUGGCCUUGAUCACCUGCAACAUGGACCGCGAGAACCACGUUCCAUUAGUUUGGUGAAUUCCCCAAAGGCGUCAGCGUGGAGUUGGAGAGCAAGUUUACGGGGUCCAUGACGAUGACUUCUGUUUUGUUUGAUCAGCCGUUUUACUGCCCUGACACAGACACCGUUUGGAAACAAUUAAGUUUGGUGAAUUCACCAAAGACGUCAGCGUGGAGUUGGAGAGCGAGCUUCCGGGUCCAUGACGAUGACUUCUGUUUUGUUUGAUCAGCCGUUUUACUGCCCUGACACAGACACCGUUUGGAAACAAUUAAGUUUGGUGAAUUCACCAAAGACGUCACCGUGGAGUUGGAGAGCGAGCUUCCGGGGUCCAUGACGAUGACUUCUGUUUUGUUUGAUCAUCCGUUUUACUGCCCUGACACAGACACCAUUUGGAAACAAUUAAGGCCACUUACAUCCUGGUUGCCCAUGUCCCAGUAGGGCCUCUCCCCGUAGGACAUGACCUCCCACAUGACGAUACCAAAGCUCCAGACAUCUGAGGGCGAGGAGAAGCGGUGAUACUGGAUGGCCUCUGGAGCGGUCCACAGAACCACACUCUUCCCUCCGUGCUGGAGAGGACACCACAGUGGACAUGAUGGCUACGUGUUGGGACCCUGGCCGCGUCUUGCACCUUCUCUCCACUUCCACGGGGCGGUUUGUCCCUUCUGGCUGGGAGUGUUGAUCCCCUCCAAGUGUGAGAUAUUGAGGCUCCUUCCAAUCUACCUCCCCUCCCUGGCUGUCCAGUUCGAAAACCCGCUUUUCAUUUCCUUCCGAGCCGAGCAUAAGUUUCGCCCUCUCCGCAUUGAAAUAGUAAGAUUCUAAUUCCGUUUUUUCUCUUAUAAAUUGCUUCACACAAUCAA